UGAGCCGUGGAUGAAUAAUGAACAUAUGUACAGGAUAAUACUGACCCAUAUAUUGAUCUAACAAACAGCGUGGGCAGAAACAUUUUAGCUGAAGCGGAAACCGUCUACGUAUUUCAUGUAGGCAAAAAAGGCUUAUCAAGACCGGGACGCUGCAAAAAAAAAAAAAAAGCUUAACUCAGGACAAACGGGUCAGAAAUGUUGUGCACACAACUGGCAGGCGAGUCCAGUGAUCUUUAAAUGAUAUCAGUAGAGCCUGAGCACCACACGUUUGGGAAGUCCGGUGAAAACGAUCGUUUGGGUGGAUGCACUGUACGGGGCCGUUCACAGUACGAGCUCUGCGCUCAAGAGCAGCUAGACGGAGCGCAACGGAGUGGAACAGAACGAGGGAUCUCUAGACGCGCUUUUAAAAGUUAAACGGAGCCCCUGAAUAAUAUAAGAUAGAAUAGAAUAAGAACGAAACGCGUUCCAACGAACAAAUACGUCGUUCUGGACUAUGUUUAUAUAAAUAUACAUAAAAGAAUAAAAUCAAUAGCUGGACGCGAGAAAGCAUCCUGUACGGACGUCCCUUAACUUCGGUUUUCGCGCUCACCUCCUGAGACCGCGCGCUACAACGGGAGCCCGAGCAGUCAGACAGACUGAUGCAUCCGCAGCAGGGUUUCGCGGCCUAGGUGGCACUGAUGUGCAGUCAAGACCUUUAAAGCUGCAGAUCUCACAGAUGAAUUCUCACAUUCUGGCUUUACAGGAAGAGUCUCCAAGUUAUGAACAGGAAUUCCACUAUAUCAUUACCAGCUAUUUGUGUCAUGCUCUAAAUUUAUCUUCAAUUACCUCAUCAGUGCUAUUAUAAUAGGGCGGUUCUCUGCUCAUGAUUGGGGGUCCCACCUGACCCUGUAUGAGUGCUAAGGCCUGAGAACUGGAUUACAGCUUAUCCAUAUCAACAGCUGUAGCUUUCUAACAAAGCCUGUGGGCCCCUGGGCAUAUUUCAAGCAAGCCAGAAUUCACCAAGGACACUCCUGACUGGAAAAGUGGAAUGGUAGAGGAAUAUCCGGUGCCAUAAUCCUCUUUCCUCUCCUCAACACAUUACCUGACGCACCAGCAUAUCGACCGGCUAACACUACACACGGAAGCAUAAGAGGUGAGAAAUACUGUAGAUCUCUGAGCAGAAGCACUACCCAGACACAAAACAAGAGGAUUAGAAUUUAUUUUCAGCCUGACAACGGAGCCUCUCUGAAUCAGUGUGAUCACAGCCUCACUGGCAGGUUUUGACUAACCCAUGUCAUGCCCCUAAAUCACACACACACUGAGCCUCAGACCUCACUGCAUGCUUUUAUUCUUAGUGAAUUGAAUGAGAGCAUUUCAGUUCAAAGCUGCAACACCAAAACUGAUUGCAUAUUAAUGUAAUAAUAAUAGCGCCAAUAUUUAUUCAGCUGAUAACUGGUAUUUGAUUGCUGAUGACCACAACAUUUACAAAGAGUCAGCUUUGGAUCAACAUACAAAACAGUUACCCUUGUAUUGUAAUCAUUACCUGCACAAGCUGUAAUCACUGCCUAACAUGUUCAUUGUGUCUGCUGAAUACAUGAUGUUAACUAACCACAUAACAUGUAUUUUCUUACAGUAGGUGUAUAUUAAUGCUAUAUGGACAUUUUCACAUAAUCAUCUCUGGCUGAUCACGGAAUACUUCCUAACUGUUGCACUGAAAAAAAGCAUUUUCUGGAUAGCUGCUAAUAUGUAUUGUAAAAAGUAUAUACAAAUACAAUAAAUUAAAUAUUUAUAAUAUUUAUUUGUAGAUUUUUCCCCCAUUUUAUUGUGACCAAAUAAAGUUUAGUAGUCAAAAUAUUUUUUUAGUCUUUACAAAUUAUUGUGAUAUGAUCCAUAGUGAUCCAACACAUAUUGUCUGUAAAUUGAAAGGUUGUUCAUUUUAGCCUGAGGUCAUGCAUUUAGUGUGACAUCACAGGCAUAGAUGAUGUAAUGCAACGCAGUGAGCUCAGAGCCAGUUUCAGUGGGAGGGCAGCUCAUUUGGAACAGAUAAAGGUGCUUUGUUUUCUUCACUUCCUCCUCUCUGUACAUGACUAGAACAUUGUUCCUGUGUUAUAGUAUUUGCUCAUUUGGAGGGAAACUGAGAUGCCCUUUGUGGAUCUAACCUAACAGACAAGAGGAGAAAGUAUGUUUACCAAUGACCAAGGAUAAACAUCUAUCAUAAACUAAUAAAUCUUAGAAAUAAAAAUGGAUAGACCUAAUUCUGCGAAAUGGCUUACUGAAACACUUAUAAUGCUGCAAUAACCUGACUGCAGACACAGAAUUGGUCUUCGUGGGUCAAACGAUACAUGGUUAAAUGAUCAAACAAUAUACACCAGUCUGUUUUUUAUCAAUAUAUAUAUAUAUAUUAUUUUGUUUAGCAAGGACACAUUGAAAUGAUCAAAAGUGACAGUAAAUGUCAAAUUAUUGAUGUGUUUUUUAAACUUUGUAUUUAGCAAAGAAUCCUUUAAAAAGGAAUUAACAGCUGUUUAUAAUAAACAUAAAUGUUUCAGCAAAUCAGGCUAUUAGAAUGAUUUCUGAAGGAUUGUAUGACCCUGAAGAUUGGAGUAAUGAUGCUGAAAAAAUUCAGCUAACAUUAGUCAAACAGCUCUGCCCAAAUUUUUUCCUAUGUACAGUUUCAAUUCAUUUAAUUAUAAAUGAGAAUUAAUUGUUGGCUGUAUAAACUGUUUGUGCAUAUACAAACUUUAGAGUAAGUGUGACAACUAGCUCCAUCAUAUAGCUGUCGAACAGGUACUGGUCAUAUAAUUAGAAUAUCAUCAAAAAGUUUAUUUAUUUCACUAAUUCCAUUCAAAAAGUGAAACAUGUAUAUUAUAUUCAUUCAUUACACAGAGACUGAUAUAUUUACAAUUUUUUUUAUUUUUUUUAUAAUUUUGAUGAUUAUAACUGACAACUAAGGACAAUCCCAAAUUCAGUAAAAAGUAUGAAAAUGAAAAGUAUGAGCAUGAACAGCACUCAAUACUUAGUUGUGGCUCCUUUUGCCUGAAUUACUGCAGCAGUGUGUGCAGGUGCCUGUUGGAAAAUGAAAUCUGCAUCUUCAUAAUGUUUGUCAGCAGCAGGAAGCAUGAAGUGCUCUAAAACUUUACCGCUGGACCUCAGAAAACACAGUGGACCAACACCAGCAGAUGAAAUGGCACUGCAAACCAUCACUGACUGUGGAAACUUUACACUGGAUCUCAAGCAGCGUGGAUUGUGUGCCUCUCCUCUCUUUCUUCAGACUCUAGGAACCUGAUUUCCAAAGAAAUUCUAAAUUUACUUUCAUCAGAGAACAUAACUUUGGACCAAUCAGCAGCAGUCCAGUCCUUUUUGUCUUUAGAUGCUUCUGAUGCUGUCUGUUAUUCAAGGGUGACUUGACACAAGGAAUGCAGCUGAAACCCAUGUCUUGCAUACAUCUGUGCGUAGUGGUUCUUGAAGCACUGACUCCAGCUGCAGUCCACUCUUUGUGAAUCUCCCCCACAUUUGUGAAUGGGUUUUGUUUCACAAUCCUCUCCAGUGUGCGGUUAUCCCUAUUGCUUGUACACUUUUUUCUACCACAUUUUUUCCUUACCUUCACCUCUCUAUUUAACGUGCUUGGACACAGAACUCUGUGAACAGCCAGACUCUUUUUCAAUGACCUUUUGUGUCUUGCCCUCCUUGUGCUUGGUGUCAAUGUCGUCUCCUCAAGUCAGCAGUCUUCCCCAUGAUUGUGUAGCCUACAGAACUAGACUAAGAGACCAUUUAAAGGCUUUGCAGGUGUUUUGAGUUAAUUAGCUGAUUAGAGCGUGGCACCAGGUGUCUUCAAUAUUGAACCUUUUCACAAUAUUCUAAUUUUCUGAGAUACUGAAUUUGGGAUUUUCCUUAGUUGUCAGUUAUGAUCAUCAAAAUUAAAAGAAUAUUUGCGCCUGAUUAUAAAACCUUUACUUCUUCUCACAAGCGUUUGUGUUUGCUCACACGUUUUGAGGGGUAAUGCAAUCAUUUUGCGAGCAAACACAAAGGUUUGCAGGAGAAAGCCAAAUUUCUUGUUAGCCUGCAAAACAUCUUCAAGAUAUGUAUAAAAUAACUUUUUUCCAUCCCACGUUCUUCUGUCACCAUGUUGAUUUAGGAGCUUUAUAGUAGAAGGAUAAGUAAGCCGCCUACUACAAGUACAAUAAAAAGUAUUUGCGUAAGUGGAUUAGGAACAAAAUAGUUUUAUCACUAUUAUACCUGUUGCGUACUACUGUAAAAAUGAGAUCCUUUUACAAGCUUAUAUUCAGUGCAAAAUCCUUGUCAAAACAUUGUUUCAAGACCAGUUUCCCCACAGACUCGUAACGUCAUAUCACUCAACCAAAUGCAUUGACAUACUUAGAAGAGUAACAGCGAUCAGCAGAAGAGCUUUCUGAGCUGAUUCUGAUGAUAGAGUCACAUUUAAUGUUGUAUUGGGACUCACAUGUGUCCAUUAAGUCCCAUGCUUUAUGGGAAGACAUAGGAACAUUGGAGUUACAUAGGAGCAAGCUUCCAGCUAAUGAAUUAUAAUGGAGCAUUAAUGACUCUAAACUGUUAUGUGGUUCCCUCAUUGGUAGGUAAUUUAUAAAGUAAAACUGGCGCUUUAGUGGUGUGCAACUUUGGCCAAGCAGACAUCACAGAAGGGUUAUAUGUGUCUCAUCACUAAGUGGAAAAUGCAGUAAUCUUUGCCAAGCCAUGAGAAACACAGGACAUGGAUUAUUUUAGUGAUGCAAAACACAGUUUUCUUUUAAAGAGAAGCUGAGGGAAACCUGUGUUUUAGCACAGUAUUAAGCAUCCUUUAGAUUUCAGUAUAAAAACGUAAUGAAUCAGCAGUAAAGCAAAUGUGUUAAUUUCUCUGCAUGCAUUUUACUUUGAUGGUUUACACAAUUCUCUGCUGAGCACAGCCUCUAAAGGUAACCCAGUCCCAGAGAGGACUUUCAAAAACAACUCGCUUCCCCAAAGACAAACAAACAGUGGAGCAGAGGCCUGUUGACCCAGGAGCAUAACACACUGUGUGUGGGUAGAUUCUACACACCAGGUCAGACAGUGCCUCUGUUCUCACAAAAACACAAUAAAGAUCUGGUGCCAGGGUUGACAAAUAAAAUAAUCAGUGUCUUUGAGGAUAUUUGUAGUGAAAUUAUGAAUUUGGGGUUAUUUGGAUUUGUUCUCUUAUUUGGACAAAUUGUAUAUUUUUAUUCAGCAAUUACUGUUUUAUUAUAUUACCUUUAUAUAUAUUAUUUUAAAUCUUUCAAAAACACCAAAACCCAAACUUUUGCAACUCACAAUUAAAUGAUUUGAGUGCACUUCUUCGAUAAAGAGCAUGUUUUACUUUGUAAAACGAAUGUUUUACGAUUAAAACGAAUUGAGCAUCAUAAAGUUAAAAAAGAAGCAAGCGAAAGAGACAUUUUUAAAUAAUAAAAUUCUUGAAAAGAAAGAAAAUAACUUGUUAUAAGAUAUUUAUUGCAAUAUAUAUAUUGCUUAUAAAAGUGCUUAUUAAUGAGACUCUUGUCUGCCAAAUCAAUAAAUAAACUAAUAGAAGCAUAAAACAGGUAACUAUAUCAUAUAAAUAUGACUUUGACCACAUGACUGUGUUACAAGGUAAUUUUUUUUUAAAUCUUAAAUAAUUUGACCUUUUUAGUAGUGAACUAUGCAUACUAUAUAUUUAAAUAAAGCACUUGACCAGAAAAGUGUGCAUCUAAUAAUACUUACCUUUAUUAACUUUAAAGACUUGUCAAGAUCUGCAGAAACAUGCCCUUUUCAUUUUCAACUGAUGUACUAUAUGUCAUACUUAUGCUUCAGGAAUGCUGUAAACCAGUGUGGGUUUUGUCUUAACAUGUAUCUCUGCACAUGAAAGGAGUUAAGACCUGUCAACACACAAGAGGUCCUCAGGGACUGAGCCUUUGUGUGGACGCAACUGUCACGAUGAAAGAUUCUCUCCCAAGACUUAAACAUCACAGCGACCUAUGAAAGCAGGAUUAAAUUGAUCAAGUCAGAUGCCACCCAGCUUCCCAGAAGGCUUCCUCCUCACAUUAAUUCAUCUUCAAGACUGACUGACCUCACCUCAUACAAACCAGAAAUUACAUCUACUGAAGUAUCAAAGGCCUGCAUUGCUUAAUGACCUUUACUUGAACCAUGGACAAAUAAAGGCAGACUCUCUGAGCUUCAGGUGCUGCCAACGCUGUAUGGCGCAUCUCUAUUUGAUGUCUGCUAAACUUAAGAAUGGGAAUAGAGAAGGGUCACCUGUCUGUGAUAAGACUGACUGUCUAACUUCCGAAACACUUGAUAGCAACUGUAGCAGGAUAUCCUGGGGCAGAAGCAAAUAGUAACCUUGCCAGCUUUCUAUUUAAAGGGCUCUGACAACAUCUAGUGGUGAGAUGUAUAAUAUCCCUCAUUCUGCCAUAUGUUUCUGUGAUGCCAUUGAACUAUGAAAACUGUGAAAUCUGAUACAUCAGUGAGAUGAGGAAAAGGCCAUUAGGAUCCAUUAACCUCAACACAACCCCCCAAAACACCACUCAACCAGGAAGUUGCUCCUCUCAGCACAUCGCCAGCGCUUUUUUGCUCUGGUUAACAAAAGGGAGUUCAGCUGAGUUUACUUUGCUGACCAGAGCACCUUUUUCUCCCUAAUUGUCUUGUCUUGCUUAAUUUAUUACCAUUGUGAUGUGACCACUGAAGUAAAAUCUCAAACGUGCAAUAAUCAGUUUUAUGGGCUUUCCAGAGCACAGUAUGAAAGAGUUUACUGAUUAUUUAUACUUAUUUUCUUGUUAUAUUGAAUUUAAAUGUAUUUAUAUACUUACUAUUUUUAAAUAUAUAUGUGUGUGUGUUGUAUAAUGUAUGUAUGUAAAGUGAGAGUAUACACAUUUAGUUACCAAAAUAAUCUAUUUCCGAUAAGAAACACAAAAUUUCUUUUUUUUUUUAAAUAAAUGUUAUUUUCAAUUAUUUU